UACGUAGGGGGCAAGCGUUGUCCGGAUUUAUUGGGCGUAAAGAGCGUGUAGGCGGCCAGUUAGGUCCGUUGUGAAAACUCGAGGCUCAACCUCGAGACGCCGAUGGAAACCAACUGGCUAGAGUCCGGAAGAGGAGAGUGGAAUUCCCGGUGUAGCGGUGAAAUGCGCAGAUAUCGGGAAGAACACCUGUGGCUAAGGCGGCUCUCUAGUACGGUACUGACGCUGAGACGCGAAAGCGUGGGGAGCGAACAGG
rnacentral:rRNA from 1 species